rnacentral:rRNA from 1 species
GCCGCGGUAAUUCCAGCACCUCAAGUGGUCAGGAUGAUUAUUGGGCCUAAAGCAUCCGUAGCCGGCUUUGUUAGUUUUCGGUUAAAUCCAUGUGCUCAACGCAUGGGCUGCCGAAAAUACUGCAUGGCUAGGGAGUGGGAGAGGUAGACGGUACUCAGUAGGAAGGGGUAAAAUCCUUUGAUCUAUUGAUGACCACCUGUGGCGAAGGCGGUCUACCAGAACACGUUCGACGGUGAGGGAUGAAAGCUGGGGGAGCAAACCGGAUUAGAUACCCGGGUAGUCCCAGCUGUAAACGAUGCAGACUCGAUGAUGCAUUGGCAUAAUAGCCAGUGCAGUGUCGCAGGGAAGCCGUUAAGUCUGCCGCCUGGGAAGUACGUACGCAAGUAUGAAACUUAAAGGAAUUGGCGGGGGAGCACCACAAGGGGUGAAGCCUGCGGUUCAAUUGGAGUCAACGCCAGAAAUCUUACCCGGAGAGACAGCAGAAUGAAGGUCAAGCUGAAGACUUUACCAGACAAGCUGAGAGGUGGUGCAUGGCCGUCGCCAGCUCGUGCCGUGAGAUGUCCUGUUAAGUCAGGUAACGAGCGAGAUCCCUGCCACUAGUUGCUAUCAUUAUUCUCAGGAAUAGUGGGGCGAAUUAGUGGGACUGCCGUUGUUAAAACGGAGGAAGGAAGGGGCUACGGCAGGUCAGUAUGCCCCGAAACUCUGGGGCCACACGCGGGCUGCAAUGGUAGUGACAAUGAGUUCCAAACUCGAAAGAGAGUGGCAAUCUCUAAACGCUACCACAGUUAUGACUGAGGGCUGUAACUCGCCCUCACGAAUAUGGAAUCCCUAGUAACCGCGUGUCAUUACCGCGCGGUGAAUACGUCCCUGCUCCUUGUACACACCGCCGGU